UACGAAGGGGGCUAGUGUUGCUCGGAAUCACUGGGCGUAAAGCGCACGUAGGCGGAUUGUUAAGUCAGGGGUGAAAUCCUGGAGCUCAACUCCAGAACUGCCUUUGAUACUGGCGAUCUCGAGUCCGGGAGAGGUGAGUGGAACUGCGAGUGUAGAGGUGAAAUUCGUAGAUAUUCGCAAGAACACCAGUGGCGAAGGCGGCUCACUGGCCCGGUACUGACGCUGAGGUGCGAAAGCGUGGGGAGCAAACGGG
rnacentral:rRNA from 1 species